GGGGAAUAUUGGACAAUGGUCGAAAGCCUGCUCCAGCCAUGCCGCGUGUGUGAAGAAGUUCUUCGGAUUGUAAAGCCCUUUAAGUUGGGAGGAAGGGCGGUAAGUUAAUACCUUGCUGUUUUGACUUUACGGACAGAAUCAGCACCAGCUACCUUCGUGCCAGCAGCCGCGGUAAUACGAAGGGUGCAAGCGUUAAUCGGAAUUACUGGGCGUAAAGCGCGCGUAGGUGGUUCGUUAAGUUGGAUGUGAAAGCCCCGGGCUCAACCUGGGAACUGCAUCCAAAACUGGCGAGCUAGAGUACGGUAGAGGGUGGUGGAAUUUCCUGUGUAGCGGUGAAAUGCGUAGAUAUAGGAAGGAACACCAGUGGCGAAGGCGACCACCUGGACUGAUACUGACACUGAGGUGCGAAAGCGUGGGGAGCAAACA
rnacentral:rRNA from 1 species